AGAUUGAACGCUGGCGGCAGGCCUAACACAUGCAAGUCGAGCGGCAGCACGGGUACUUGUACCUGGUGGCGAGCGGCGGACGGGUGAGUAAUGCCUAGGAAUCUGCCUGAUAGUGGGGGAUAACGUUCGGAAACGGACGCUAAUACCGCAUACGUCCUACGGGAGAAAGUGGGGGAUCUUCGGACCUCACGCUAUCAGAUGAGCCUAGGUCGGAUUAGCUAGUUGGUA
rnacentral:rRNA from 1 species